rnacentral:rRNA from 1 species
UAAGCGACUGAGCGUACACGGUGGAUGCCUAGGCAGUCAGAGGCGAUGAAGGGCGUGCUAAUCUGCGAAAAGCGUCGGUAAGCUGAUAUGAAGCGUUAUAACCGACGAUACCCGAAUGGGGAAACCCAGUGCAAUACGUUGCACUAUCGUUAGGUGAAUACAUAGUCUAACGAGGCGAACCGGGGGAACUGAAACAUCUAAGUACCCCGAGGAAAAGAAAUCAACCGAGAUUCCCCCAGUAGCGGCGAGCGAACGGGGAGGAGCCCAGAGUCUGAAUCAGUUUGUGUGUUAGUGGAAGCGUCUGGAAAGUCGCACGGUACAGGGUGAUAGUCCCGUACACCAAAAUGCACAGGCUGUGAACUCGAUGAGUAGGGCGGGACACGUGACAUCCUGUCUGAAUAUGGGGGGACCAUCCUCCAAGGCUAAAUACUCCUGACUGACCGAUAGUGAACCAGUACCGUGAGGGAAAGGCGAAAAGAACCCCGGCGAGGGGAGUGAAAUAGAACCUGAAACCGUGUACGUACAAGCAGUGGGAGCACCUUCGUGGUGUGACUGCGUACCUUUUGUAUAAUGGGUCAGCGACUUAUAUUUUGUAGCAAGGUUAACCGAAUAGGGGAGCCGUAGGGAAACCGAGUCUUAACUGGGCGUCUAGUUGCAAGGUAUAGACCCGAAACCCGGUGAUCUAGCCAUGGGCAGGUUGAAGGUUGGGUAACACUAACUGGAGGACCGAACCGACUAAUGUUGAAAAAUUAGCGGAUGACUUGUGGCUGGGGGUGAAAGGCCAAUCAAACCGGGAGAUAGCUGGUUCUCCCCGAAAGCUAUUUAGGUAGCGCCUCGUGAACUCAUCUUCGGGGGUAGAGCACUGUUUCGGCUAGGGGGCCAUCCCGGCUUACCAAACCGAUGCAAACUCCGAAUACCGAAGAAUGUUAUCACGGGAGACACACGGCGGGUGCUAACGUCCGUCGUGAAGAGGGAAACAACCCAGACCGCCAGCUAAGGUCCCAAAGUCAUGGUUAAGUGGGAAACGAUGUGGGAAGGCACAGACAGCCAGGAUGUUGGCUUAGAAGCAGCCAUCAUUUAAAGAAAGCGUAAUAGCUCACUGGUCGAGUCGGCCUGCGCGGAAGAUGUAACGGGGCUAAACCAUGCACCGAAGCUGCGGCAGCGACACUUAGGUGUUGUUGGGUAGGGGAGCGUUCUGUAAGCCGUUGAAGGUGACCUGUGAGGGUUGCUGGAGGUAUCAGAAGUGCGAAUGCUGACAUAAGUAACGAUAAUGCGGGUGAAAAACCCGCACGCCGGAAGACCAAGGGUUCCUGUCCAACGUUAAUCGGGGCAGGGUGAGUCGACCCCUAAGGCGAGGCUGAAAAGCGUAGUCGAUGGGAAACAGGUUAAUAUUCCUGUACUUGGUGUUACUGCGAAGGGGGGACGGAGAAGGCUAGGCUGGCCGGGCGACGGUUGUCCCGGUUUAAGCGUGUAGGGGGAGUGACCAGGUAAAUCCGGUUGCUUAUCAACCCUGAGGCGUGAUGACGAUGCACUACGGUGCAGAAGCAGUUGAUGCCAUGCUUCCAGGAAAAGCCUCUAAGCAUCAGGUAACAUUAAAUCGUACCCCAAACCGACACAGGUGGUCAGGUAGAGAAUACUCAGGCGCUUGAGAGAACUCGGGUGAAGGAACUAGGCAAAAUGGUGCCGUAACUUCGGGAGAAGGCACGCUGGCGUUAGGUGAAAGGACUAGCUCCUGGAGCUGAAGCCAGUCGCAGAUACCAGCUGGCUGCAACUGUUUAAUAAAAACACAGCACUGUGCAAACACGAAAGUGGACGUAUACGGUGUGACGCCUGCCCGGUGCUGGAAGGUUAAUUGAUGGGGUCAGCCGCAAGGCGAAGCUCUUGAUCGAAGCCCCAGUAAACGGCGGCCGUAACUAUAACGGUCCUAAGGUAGCGAAAUUCCUUGUCGGGUAAGUUCCGACCUGCACGAAUGGCGUAAUGAUGGCCAGGCUGUCUCCACCCGAGACUCAGUGAAAUUGAACUCGCUGUGAAGAUGCAGUGUACCCGCGGCAAGACGGAAAGACCCCGUGAACCUUUACUAUAGCUUGACACUGAACAUUGAGCCUUGAUGUGUAGGAUAGGUGGGAGGCCUUGAAGUGUGGACGCCAGUCUGCAUGGAGCCAACCUUGAAAUACCACCCUUUAAUGUUUGAUGUUCUAACUCGGCCCCAUAAUCUGGGGUGAGGACAGUGUCUGGUGGGUAGUUUGACUGGGGCGGUCUCCUCCCAAAGAGUAACGGAGGAGCACGAAGGUUAGCUAAUCACGGUCGGACAUCGUGAGGUUAGUGCAAAGGCAUAAGCUAGCUUGACUGCGAGAGUGACGGCUCGAGCAGGUACGAAAGUAGGUCUUAGUGAUCCGGUGGUUCUGAAUGGAAGGGCCAUCGCUCAACGGAUAAAAGGUACUCCGGGGAUAACAGGCUGAUACCGCCCAAGAGUUCAUAUCGACGGCGGUGUUUGGCACCUCGAUGUCGGCUCAUCACAUCCUGGGGCUGAAGUAGGUCCCAAGGGUAUGGCUGUUCGCCAUUUAAAGUGGUACGCGAGCUGGGUUUAGAACGUCGUGAGACAGUUCGGUCCCUAUCUGCCGUGGGCGUUGGAAGAUUGAGAGGGGCUGCUCCUAGUACGAGAGGACCGGAGUGGACGAAUCACUGGUGUUCGGGUUGUCAUGCCAAUGGCAUUGCCCGGUAGCUAAAUUCGGAAGAGAUAACCGCUGAAAGCAUCUAAGCGGGAAACUUGCCUCGAGAUGAGUCUUCCCUGGGGCUUAAAGCCCCCUGAAGGAACGUUAAAGACUAUGACGUUGAUAGGCUGGGUGUGUAAGUGCAGCGAUGUAUUGAGCUAACCAGUACUAAUGAUCCGUGAGGCUUAACCU